UACAAUCAGUUUUGGCUGCUCUUUAAUCAACAAAAAUUGACACUAAAAAUAUCAAAGAAUGUAGGGCAAACAUUUUUGACUUCUUAGAAGCUGGACAUAGUGUUGCCCACUGUGUCUCAGCGGACUUCAAAAUGAGUAGAGGGCUAGCUGCAAAAUUCAGAGCGAAGUUUGGCGUACCCAAUUUGAAUAAGAAUUGCGGUCAAGUUGGUAGUUGCGUCGACCAGCCAAUAAACAGCGGCUAUAUAUUCCACCUAAUUAGUAAAGCGCGAUUUUUCCAAAAACCAAAAUAUAUACACAUAUGGAGGGCUCUUAUAAAUAUGCGGCGAUUAUGCAUUUUGGGUAAUCUCAAAAACCUGGCUUUGCCCAAAAUCGCUUGCGGGCUGGACCGUAAAAAUUUUAAGAUAAUAAAAUGCGUGAUCGCCUAUAUUUAUAGGAAUUGCACCACCCAAAUAACCAUAUGUGUAUAAAACUAGUUUGGCUUUUAGGAGUUAAGAUGGGUACAUAUCGGCGCCUACGGAGGGGUUUAGUGGGUAGUGGCUUCACCGAGCCCCACACUGUCCUGGAGUGCCUUGUGCGUCCAAGUUCGUGCGUAAAUGCAUUCCCCGUCGUGUAAUAAAACAAAAUAAAAAAAAAUUACACCAAAGUGCGCAAAGAAUUUUAUUGCUGGGCAGUUCAGUGGGUAAAAACUUAACUGCUUCUAACAACAUAUACAAAUUCCUGGAUGAAUUUUCAAAAGGAUCUUAACUGAGACCACACAUUGUUACAAACGAGGCCUAUGUAAGUUUUCCUUAAAUACAAUUAAUGAAACCUCCUCGGGUAUACUUUCUAGUCAUCCUGGUAACCAUCCAGCCAGUGGUUUUAACGUAAUUUUUGAUUGGAUCUUUCUGGAGAAUAUUGACUGUUGUCUCCUGAAAGAGAGCGAUUACCUAAAGGGAAGACCCGGACUUCUUUUGUAGGACCUGACUGUAGUAUCGACGACUUAGAGCUACUAGCACCGAUGGUUUAAUUCCAUACUACUAUUUAGCUGGACUUGGAUUUUGUAUUUCUCUACUCAGAAAUCACUAUCUUUGUAUUUGUUAUAUAAAAAAAUAAACAAUUGGAAAAUUA